ACUUGAGUAAAUGCGAAGCAGUGAGAUUGCUGGGUCAUACAAAGUACAGGGCCCCCUCUGCUGGGAUCCAGGAACAAGCUAGCAAGGCCUCCAGACAGGGGACUUCCACUGAUCCUUUGUCACUACUGAGCCCAAAAGUGCACGGGCAGCAAGUUACCAAAUCGCCUUCCACAAGGUCUACAAACCCAUCUGGGACACAUGGCAGGGACCAACACGCUUCUAGACUUCCCAUGUUCCAAGUCCACUUCUGCCGGGCAGAAUAGAAACCUCGUCAGUUAUCACAACUCAGUAUCCUUCUAAUUAAAAUAUCCGACCAUGUCCCCAUCAGCCACUUUCCUCAUUUGGGAUACCACCAACCAUCCUGCACGGCUGCCCGUGUUUCUGUUUCUCCAGCCCAAGCAUGCAGUUUCAGUAGGUCCUUCAGAGGCUGCCUGAAAGCAUCCCGCCUCCAGAGCCCUGUGGGUUGAAGACCGCUG
rnacentral:antisense_RNA from 1 species